GGCCAAUGAUGCACUCUUUAGCACGUAUUAUCAGAUGUUUUCUUGAUGAUAUCUUUAAUUGUCACUACCUCUGAGGCC
rfam:Cajanus cajan chromosome 11, whole genome shotgun sequence.